rnacentral:rRNA from 1 species
CCGGCAACCGGCGCACGGGUGAGUAACACGUAUGCAACCUGCCCGUCUCAGGGGGAUAAUCGUCGGAAACGGCGUCUAAUACCCCGUAUGAAGCUGGACGGCAUCGUCUGGUUUUGAAAGAAUAUCGGAGACGGAUGGGCAUGCGGCGCAUUAGCUAGUUGGCGGGGUAACGGCCCACCAAGGCGACGAUGCGUAGGGGUUCGUGAGAGGAAGGUCCCCCACCACUGGUACUGAGACACGGACCAGACUCCUACGGGAGGCAGCAG